CUGAGUCAACACAGAGUAAUUAUUAAUUUACUUACCUUAACAGCAGAAUCAUAUUCUCCACCACUCUCUCUGCCAUAAAAGAUCAAAACUUUAGCACAUUCAAGCAAAAAACUAAAUAAAGUAGGAGUCUCUCUCUCUCUAGAAUCUCUGUUUUUAUCCUCUCUCUAGAAAGAGAAAGCAAGCAAAUGGCAGCAGCCCCACCAGCAGUGGCAGUGAAUGGAGGAGGAAUGGCGGCAGCAAAGGUGGCAUCACAGGCUU
rnacentral:lncRNA from 1 species